UGGGCAAUAGCUUAAAAAUUAAGCAUUUUAUUUACACUAAAAAGUUGACUAUAGUGGUCUUGCU
rnacentral:tRNA from 1 species